rnacentral:lncRNA from 1 species
UCUGCGUACGUGUUAUUCUCUGGUGCAUAUAUAAGGAGUCGCACCUGCGCCUAAGCAACUCUCCUUCCAUGGUCCAAAUGCGCCUGGCAUACAACACUAAGAAAAUUAUGCUUAUGUUAUUUGCCACGUUGCUACUUUUGAUGUGUCGCUACGCAGGUGACGCCAAUGAAGCACAU